UACGGAGGGUGCAAGCGUUAUCCGGAUUGACUGGGUUUAAAGGGUGCGUAGGCGGGCCCUUAAGUCAGUGGUGAAAGCUCCGAGCUUAACUCGGAAACUGCCAUUGAUACUAUAGGUCUUGAAUUCGGUCGAGGUUGGCGGAAUGUGUCGUGUAGCGGUGAAAUGCUUAGAUAUGACACAGAACACCGAUUGCGAAGGCAGCUAGCUAGACCGACAUUGACGCUGAGGCACGAAAGCGUGGGGAUCAAACAGG
rnacentral:rRNA from 1 species